UUUGCUUGUGCUUGACCUGGUAUUGAUCUGACAUCAGCAACAAUCUUUUCAAUAUCUUUACUUGGGUAAACAGCAUCCCGUUUGAUUGGAGCAACUACCGAACGAUUUCGACCGUGUUACGGAUAUCUUCUUCCCCUUUCUUAAAAUCCCCUCCGAUCUCUUGUACACCCAUGUGAGUGCAUGUAUUAUAGAGAUAUUCACGAUUCUAGGCCUUUUUCCCUAUCCCGCCUAGUGGACUCCCAGGCUUAAAGAAAUGAUUACUCCUUCCCCUGCUGAUGGCGAUAUGUGUGUACCUUCUUCUUCUUCUUCGGCUGGCCACGCCCUGGAGCCGAAUAGUCGCUUCACCACUGUCUGGAUGCAAAACACACCGAGGUAAAGAGAAAACAUUCUUUUAAAAAAGACAAAUUUAAUGAAAUUGAUUUUAAUUUGCUGUUACUAUGCGCACAUCGAUUUCUUUGGAUUGGGAUUUUACAUGCGCGUGAUGGUUUUACUUGAGACGUCGGGAAUCACAAGACGGAUGUGCACCCGCUGUAGAUCCGGGAAUUUGAUAUCAAGGGCGUUGACAAAAAAACAUCUCAACUUAUAAUAAUAACAAUCAGCCAACUUUUCUCGAAUGGCAAGUCAACAAGGGACAACUUUAUGUCUCCAAUAAAAACAACACGAAAUUCCAAUAAUUGCAAACGUUGGAUAAAAAAAACUUCCCAAAUUGGAAUAAAAACCGAUGCGAUUAUUGUCAUCAAAUAAGAAAAUUGAUAAAAUCGGUUGUAAAAAAAAAAUGAUAUCCCUCCCCCCUUCUCCCACCAAAUUAUUUAUGACGACGCCAAAAGAGGAAAGAAAAAAAAGUAAAUAAA